UGGAAGUUGGCUCAGUGGUAGAGUGCUUGCCUCAUAUGUAUGAGGCCCUAGGUUCAAGUCCUCAGUACCAC
rnacentral:tRNA from 1 species